rnacentral:rRNA from 1 species
GACGAACGCUGGCGGCGUGCCUAAUACAUGCAAGUAGAACGCUGAAGAGAGGAGCUUGCUCUUCUUGGAUGAGUUGCGAACGGGUGAGUAACGCGUAGGUAACCUGCCUUGUAGCGGGGGAUAACUAUUGGAAACGAUAGCUAAUACCGCAUAACAAUGGAUGACACAUGUCAUUUAUUUGAAAGGGGCAAGUGCUCCACUACAAGAUGGACCUGCGUUGUAUUAGCUAGUAGGUGAGGUAAUGGCUCACCUAGGCGACGAUACAUAGCCGACCUGAGAGGGUGAUCGGCCACACUGGGACUGAGACACGGCCCAGACUCCUACGGGAGGCAGCAGUAGGGAAUCUUCGGCAAUGGGGGCAACCCUGACCGAGCAACGCCGCGUGAGUGAAGAAGGUUUUCGGAUCGUAAAGCUCUGUUGUAAGUCAAGAACGGGUGUGAGAGUGGAAAGUUCACACUGUGACGGUAGCUUACCAGAAAGGGACGGCUAACUACGUG